AUAAACAUUUUAAUCGUUCUAGCUUUCGACUAAGAUUCAGUCAUAUCAUCAGGAAUGAUGCUAGGAAUGAUGCUAGCAUCAUUCCUGAUGAUGACUGGAUCUUAGUCGAAAGCUAGAACGAUUAAAAUGUUUA